UUCUCGAACUUGCAACUAUGGUGUGAAAUAUGUUAGCAUGGAAUCAACCAAAAAGGCACAAGCAAUGACUACUAAAGAGGAGAUGGAAGAACAAAAUUGGGAGCACUUGAUCUCCUCAUUCAAGAAGGUUAAGGUGACGACUUCUUUUGUGGAGAAGCUGGAAAAAGAGUCGGGAUACCUCGAAUUUUAGCAAGAAGUAGAUAUAAAGCGAUAAGAGUUGUUGAAGUCAACACAAGCUCGAAAAGAUGAGCAGAUCAACUCGAUAGAAGUGGUUGAAGAUAAACCUUAGACGGAAG
rnacentral:lncRNA from 1 species